GAAUUUACUUCAAUUGACUUGCAUCAAAUGACAGGGGUUUUCCAGAUACCCCCUUGGGACUAUUUCCCUGGUCCUGCUCUCCUCUGCAGACUUGCCUCCUAGUGAUAUUUAAGAUGUAAUUGCACUGUUGUUGAAUGUUGAACAGCCAUGCUUUCGAAACUACUGCUGUUCCUAUCACUGCAGAUGUGUGGGAUUUUUAAUGUAUGGCUUCCUCAGACGAUAAAGAAGUGAGAUCAGUCGCCAUAAACAAAGACCUGAAGGUAUCAAUUUUGUCUUUUUGUUUUCAGAGGGUCCAUAUGGAAUAUUUGCUGGCAGAGAUGCCUCCAGGGGACUAGCAACUUUCUGUCUAGAUAAAGAUGCACUCAGAGAUGAAUAUGAUGACCUAUCGGACUUAAAUGCUGUACAGAUGGAAAGUGUUAGAGAGUGGGAAAUGCAAUUUAAAGAAAAAUACGACUACGUAGGUAGACUCCUAAAGCCAGGGGAAGAACCAUCAGAAUAUACAGAUGAGGAAGAUACCAAGGAUCACACUAAACAGGAAUGAACUUUGUAAACAACCAAAGUCAGGGGCCUUCGGAACUGCAACCUCUUAUUCCCCAUCACAGAAUGUCCUGCAUCUUUGGGUACAGUUCAUCUGCUGCGAAAAACAUUCAACAGGUUUUGUACAAGAAAAUAACAUACUCACAAGUGAAGAUUUGAAUACUAGACAUUAUUUGUGCUGCCAAACUUUUUUUUGCAGUUUAUUUGUAAUGUCUGGUAAGGCUUCAUUGAAGAAGAGGGGCCAGGGCUUAAAGGCAAAAACGCUAUUCCUUUUUAUCAGUAACCUGAAGCCUUCAAAUAGCAUAAACUAAAAGCUCUCUGAAGACAUGAGCCUUCCAGCUCAAUGAAAGAUUUGAAUCUGUUUUCAUGGGUGUCUUCUCCUUCAGCAGUAAAGAAAGAUGUGCUCGCGUGCAUCAAUAUCAGUAGGUUGGGCUACUGAAACUGAUGUUAAAAUGUGAAUUUCUAAUAUUGUUUUGUAUGUGGGCCUUACUAGCCCUAUCAGAAUACUUCAGUUCUCCAAGAGAGGUCCACGUAGAUUAGGAUGGGGUUAAAAUCCUUUUCUCAAAAGGAUUGGAUAAAAACAUUUUCUCUGCGACAACUAUUGUCUGAAGCCUGCCUCCUGCCCCUGCCCCCUCCCGUCCUCUAAAUCAAAUCAAAUAUUAAUUGUGCCUUAUUUCACUUGCAUAGACUUGAAUUGUUUUAAGGGAAAGCCCCCAAAAUGCGGCUUCGCAGUCACUACAAGCAGCAUUGAGACUGAAGCUAGAAUGUUCUGUUGACUGGAAAACCUUGAUAUCAUUCUGUGUAUAGAAUGUAAAAGAGGAAUACUCAGUGUUACUGCCAUAUGUUAAUACUACAUAUACUUAAAUUAGCAUUGUGAUGGCCAAACACAUACUCCCAUGCUUCUUUUUAAGUAAUAAAAAAGAAAAAAAAAACAAUAAAAAGGUCACCCUUCCUCCUCUUCCAGAAGCUGCCUAACUUUUGGGAGCACCGCCUCCACAGCCCUGUAGAGCGAAGGGGUGUUCGUGUGUGGGUAUGUGUGCGUGUCUGUCUGAAUGCAAGACUUGGGAGGGAUUGUUUCUGCAGAUAUUGUAAAUAUGAAUACCAUUUUAAUAAAGCAUGUACAAUACCAAA